rnacentral:rRNA from 1 species
AUGGACGCGGCGGUGGGGCUGCCGGAUGCGUGGUCGCAGGUGCGGGCGCCGGUGAUCGUGCCGCUGCUGAAGCUGGCGGUGGCGGUGUGCCUGCUGAUGUCGGUGCUGCUCUUCCUGGAGCGGCUCUACAUGGCGGUGGUCAUCGUCGGGGUGAAGCUCCUCGGCCGCCGGCCGGAGCGCCGGUACAAAUGCGACCCCAUCUGCGAGGACGACGACCCCGAGCUCGGCAGCGCCGCCUUCCCCGUCGUGCUCGUCCAGAUCCCCAUGUUCAACGAGCGGGAGGUGUAUCAGCUGUCGAUCGGCGCGGUGUGCGGGCUGUCGUGGCCGUCGGAUCGGCUGGUGGUGCAGGUGCUGGACGACUCCACGGACCCCCUCAUCAAGGAAAUGGUUCGGAUGGAGUGCGAGCGGUGGGCGCACAAGGGGAUCAACAUCACGUACCAGAUCCGGGAGGACCGCAAGGGGUACAAGGCCGGCGCGCUCAAGGCCGGGAUGAAGCACGGGUACGUGCGCGAGUGCGAGUACAUGGUCAUCUUCGACGCCGACUUCCAGCCGGACCCCGACUUCCUGCACCGCACCAUCCCCUACCUCCACCACAACCCGGAGAUCGCCCUCGUCCAGGCGCGAUGGCGCUUUGUGAACGCGGAUGAAUGCCUGAUGACGAGGAUGCAGGAGAUGUCCUUGGAUUACCACUUCAAAGUGGAGCAGGAAGUGAGCUCCUCCGUCUGCGCCUUCUUCGGCUUCAACGGAACCGCCGGUGUGUGGCGCAUUUCUGCAGUGAAUGAAGCAGGGGGCUGGAAGGACCGGACCACCGUGGAGGACAUGGAUCUGGCUAUCCGGGCCAGCCUCAAGGGGUGGAAGUUUGUCUACCUCGGCGAUGUUCAGGUUAAGAGUGAACUCCCCAGCACUUUCAAAGCUUUCCGGUUUCAGCAGCACAGAUGGUCAUGUGGUCCAGCAAACCUGUUCAGGAAGAUGCUGGUGGAGAUUGUGACAAAUAAGAAAGUGACAAUCUGGAAGAAGUUUCAUGUCAUCUACAACUUCUUCUUGGUGCGCAAGAUCGUUGCCCACAUUGUGACAUUCACCUUCUACUGCAUCAUCAUCCCGACAACCAUCUUUGUCCCCGAGGUUCAUAUACCGAAGUGGGGUUGCGUUUACAUUCCAACAAUCAUCACUCUUCUCAACUCUGUUGGAACUCCCAGGUCUUUUCACUUGCUUUUCUUCUGGAUCCUCUUCGAAAACGUCAUGUCUCUGCAUAGAACCAAGGCCACAUUGAUUGGCUUGUUAGAGGCAGGCAGGGCGAACGAAUGGGUCGUCACAGAGAAGCUCGGCAGCGCCAUGAAGAUGAAAUCUGCUAACAAAGCGUCGGCCAGGAAGUCAUUCAUGAGGAUGUGGGAGAGGCUAAACGUUCCAGAGCUCGGCGUGGGAGCCUUCCUCUUCUCAUGUGGAUGGUACGAUGUUGCGUUCGGGAAGGACAAUUUCUUCAUAUACCUUUUCUUCCAGUCGAUGGCUUUCUUCGUCGUCGGGGUUGGCUACGUCGGCACAAUCGUCCCUCAGUCAUAA